rnacentral:misc_RNA from 1 species
AUUGAUAGUUUCAUUUCAAGCAAGCAUACGACCCAUGUGACAGGUCAGAUAAACAUAAAUAGGAACCGAGACAUCACAUAAAUAGAGUUGAUCCUCCGAUGUCCGACCAUUCAAAGCCCACAAGGCAACAGUUACUUUCUUAAAGAUCCAACAGCAGAAAAGGAAAUUUUCAUAUCCGACAAAACCAUUAACAGACGACAGCAACUUCUUCUAGCUUUAGACCAGCAACUCCAUCUCCGUGAUUGCAGCCUAUCCUGCAAUGAAAACGUUAACGGUAGCUCCCCCCGCUGGAGCGUUCAUACGGACCCGAACGGUCCCGACUAUAGCGGUCACUUCCAGAGCCACUUCGACUAUCCCCGUCUCUACUGCGUCCCCCACCACCAUAUCGGUCUCCAUUACGAUCAGGACCAUAACGACUACCACCACCACUACCACCGCCAUACCUAUCAUCCCGACCACCACCAUACCUAUCAUCCCGACCACCAUACCGAUCACCUCUUCCACCACCAUCACCAGAUGGACACUCCCUAGCAAAAUGCCCAUGCUUGCCACAUUUGAAGCACUCUCCACUGUUAGAGCCUCGGCCCCCGCCAUAGUCUCGACCACGGUCACGACCACCACGAUCACGGUCAGAAUCCCGGUCUCCACCGCGAUCCCUACCCGAGCCAGGCUGUGCUUUAUCCACAGUGAUAGAUCGCCCAUCUAAAUCUACACCAUUCAUAUCUUCGAUUGCUUCUUCCAUGGCUUUCUUUUCAUCAAAGGUGAUAAAGCCAAAUCCACGUGAACGACCAGUAUCCCUGUCCAUAACUACCUUAGCCUCAGUAAGAUGCCCAAAUUUUGAAAAUGCUUCUUUCAACCCCCUAUCAGUCGUUGACCAGGCAAGGCCUCCAAUGAAACAGCGGUAUUCCAUUUCAGACAUGUUUGCUGAU